rnacentral:pre_miRNA from 1 species
UUAGGUUUUCUUCAUUUUCUUCUGGAAGUUUCCUAGGAUUCUUGUUGUUGAACGUUGAUGAAGAUGAUAUGAAGAUGAAAAAUAGAAGAAG